rnacentral:rRNA from 1 species
CGGAGGAAGGUGGGGAUGACGUCAAGUCAUCAUGCCCCUUAUGUCCAGGGCUUCACACAUGCUACAAUGGCCGGUACAAAGGGCUGCUAAGCCGCGAGGUGGAGCGAAUCCCAUAAAGCCGGUCUCAGUUCGGAUCGGGGUCUGCAACUCGACCCCGUGAAGUCGGA